rnacentral:rRNA from 1 species
AAAAAAGGUAAGCUACUAAGAGCGAAUGGUGGAUGCCUUGACUGGUAAAGGCGAUGAAGGACGUACUAGACUGCGAUAAGCUACGGGGAGCUGUCAAGAAGCUUUGAUCCGUAGAUUUCCGAAUGGGGCAACCCAAUGUAUAGAGAUAUACAUUACCUAUAUAGGAGCGAACGAGGGGAAUUGAAACAUCUUAGUACCCUCAGGAAAAGAAAUCAAUAGAGAUUGCGUCAGUAGCGGCGAGCGAAAGCGUAAGAGGGCAAACCCAGUGCUUGCACUGGGGGUUGUAGGACUGCAAUGUGCAAGAGGUGAGUUUAGCAGAACAUUCUGGAAAGUAUAGCCAUAGAGGGUGAUAGUCCCGUAUGCGAAAAACAAACCUUAGCUAGCAGUAUCCUGAGUAGGGCGGGACACGAGAAAUCCUGUCUGAAGCUGGGUCGACCACGAUCCAACCCUAAAUACUAAUACCAGAUCGAUAGUGCACAAGUACCGUGAGGGAAAGGUGAAAAGAACUGAGGUGAUCAGAGUGAAAUAGAACCUGAAACCAUUUGCUUACAAUCAUUCAGAGCCCUAUGUAGCAAUACAGGGUGAUGGACUGCCUUUUGCAUAAUGAGCCUGCGAGUUGUGGUGUCUGGCAAGGUUAAGCAAACGCGAAGCCGUAGCGAAAGCGAGUCUGAAUAGGGCGCUUAGUCAGAUGCUGCAGACCCGAAACGAAGUGAUCUAUCCAUGAGCAAGUUGAAGCUAGUGUAAGAACUAGUGGAGGACUGAACCCAUAGGCGUUGAAAAGCCCCGGGAUGACUUGUGGAUAGGGGUGAAAGGCCAAUCAAACUUCGUGAUAGCUGGUUCUCUCCGAAAUAUAUUUAGGUAUAGCGUUGUGUCGUAAUAUAAGGGGGUAGAGCACUGAAUGGGCUAGGGCAUACACCAAUGUACCAAACCCUAUCAAACUCCGAAUACCUUAUAUGUAAUCACAGCAGUCAGGCGGCGAGUGAUAAAAUCCGUCGUCAAGAGGGAAACAACCCAGACUA